rnacentral:rRNA from 1 species
AGUGAACGCUGGCGGUAGGCCUAACACAUGCAAGUCGAACGGCAGCACAGUAAGAGCUUGCUCUUACGGGUGGCGAGUGGCGGACGGGUGAGGAAUACAUCGGAAUCUACUUUUUCGUGGGGGAUAACGUAGGGAAACUUACGCUAAUACCGCAUACGACCUACGGGUGAAAGCAGGGGAUCUUCGGACCUUGCGCGAUUGAAUGAGCCGAUGUCGGAUUAGCUAGUUGGCGGGGUAAAGGCCCACCAAGGCGACGAUCCGUAGCUGGUCUGAGAGGAUGAACAGCCAAACUGGAACUGAGACACGGUCCAGACUCCUACGGGAGGCAGGAGUGGGGAAUAUUGGACAAGGGGGGCAAGCCUGAUCCAGCCAUACCGGGUGGGUGAAGAAGGCCUUGGGGUUGUAAAGCCCUUUUUUUGGGAAAGAAAAGCAGCAGGUUAAAACCCCGCUGUUCUGACGGUACCCAAAAAAUAAGCACCGGCUAACUUCGU